rnacentral:rRNA from 1 species
GACGAACGCUGGCGGCGUGCUUAACACAUGCAAGUCGAACGAUGAAGCCGGAGCUUGCUCUGGUGAAUUAGUGGCGAACGGGUGAGUAACACGUGAGUAACCUGCCCUUGACUCUGGGAUAACUGCGGGAAACUGUAGCUAAUACCGGAUACGACCCUCGGAGGCAUCUCCUGGGGGUGGAAAGAAUUUCGGUCAAGGAUGGACUCGCUGCCUAUCAGCUAGUUGGUGAGGGAAAGGGUCACCAAGGCGACGACGGGUAGCCGGCCUGAGAGGGUGCCCGGCAACACUGGGACUGAGACACGGCCCAGACUCCUACGGGAGGCAGCAGUGGGGAAUAUUGCACAAUGGGCGCAAGCCUGAUGCAGCAACGCCGCGUGAGGGAUGACGGCCUUCGGGUUGUAAACCUCUUUUAGCAGGGAAGAAGCGAAAGUGACGGUACCUGCAGAAAAAGCACCGGCUAACUACGUGCCAGCAGCCGCAGUAA